rnacentral:lncRNA from 1 species
AGCCAACCUUCCUUAUUUUAAAGUUCCAUUUUUUUCCCCAAUUUCAGACCUCACAUGGAGAGAUUAUACAAGCUGUAUGUGUGGAUCAUUUGUAUUUGUUAAGGCAGUCCAACUAGAAUGACUGAAUUUUGCUGCUAUGACUUGUCUGAUCAUCACUUGGAAGCACAUGCAAACAGCUUUCAUCUACUGUGAGCUGAGCUACCACAUAAACCAGGAGCGGUAG